rnacentral:rRNA from 1 species
GUGGAUUAGAUACCCCGGUAGUCCACGCCGUAAACGAUGGAUACUAGCUGUUGGGAGCAAUUUCAGUGGCUAAGCGAAAGUGAUAAGUAUCCCACCUGGGGAGUACGUUCGCAAGAAUGAAACUCAAAGGAAUUGACGGGGGCCCGCACAAGCGGUGGAGCAUGUGGUUUAAUUCGAUGAUACGCGAGGAACCUUACCAAGGCUUAAAUGUAGAUUGACAGGUUUGGAAACAGACUUUUCUUCGGACAAUUUACAAGGUGCUGCACGGCCGUCGACAGCU